UCUAUUUUCCCAAUCAAGCUCAAUACCAGAUUUUGGAAGACAGUGAGUCUUACUCUGGAGGAAGAACUUUUACUACAGUGACAAAGCUUUGAUGUUGAAGCCGCUGUAUUUUCUAAGGCUACAAUUACAAAACCCAAUGGAAUACAGGAGUGCACAUGAAAGGAGAAACAAGGUUUGGUUUUGAGAUUUGAAUUGCUGUGCAUUAUCCAAAGUGGAACAUCCAUCCAAUCAAUCCAUUAAUAAAAACUUGGAGUAUUUAAGGGCAAAUCCAAAGAAGAUUGUUCCAGUGUCUAUGGACAUGUGUUUAUCCAGCCAUAUGGGAAAAAAAUUACUCAGGC
rnacentral:lncRNA from 1 species